rfam:Ciona savignyi cont_32593, whole genome shotgun sequence.
GCCCGGUUAGCUCAGCCGGUAGAGCGUUGGAAUUUUAAUCCAAUGGUCAAGGGUUCAAGUCCCUUAUCGGGCU